ACCUUAGAGACCAACUAAGUUUGUUAUUGGUAUGAGCUUUUGUGUGCAUGCACACUUCUUCAGAGACACAGUGCAUGCACACGAAAGCUCAUACCAAUAACAAACUUAGUUGGUCUCUAAGGU